rnacentral:tRNA from 1 species
GGGGAUGUAGUUAAUAAUAACAUUUAAUUUGCAAUUAAAAAGUACUAACUUUAGUCUUCCUCA